AAAAUAAACGAAACAAAAAAAAAGUAGCCAGGCAUGGUGGCACAUGCCUGUAGUUCCAGCUACUUGGGUAGCUGAGGUGGGAGGAUUGCUUGAGCCUGGGAAGUCAAGCCUGCAGUAAGCUGUGAUGGCAUCACUGCACUCCAGUCUGGGUGACAGAGUGAGACCCUGUUUAAAAAAAGAAAAUAAAAGAAAAAAAAAUCUCCAAGCCUAGAUGACUUUACUUGGUAGCUCUUCCAAACAUUUCAGGAAAAAAUGAUCCCAAUUUUUCAUAAAAUCUUCUAGAAAUAUGGAUGACCUAGUAUAAACAAAUGGUGUUCAUCCCAGGGAUCUUGAAAUUGUUUUAACAUUCAAAAAUCAAUUAAUAUAGCUCACCAUAUUAACAGCCUGAAAAAGAAAAAGCAAUCUCAAUAGAUUCAGGAAAGCAUUUGGCAAAAUUCAAACUCCAUUCUUGAUCAAAACUCUCAGGUAAUGGGUAUACAAAAAGCCCAGACUUCCCCCCUACACAAUAUAUUCACGUAAGAACACUGCACUUUACCCCCUUUAUUUAUAAAAAAUUUUUUAAAAUUUUACUCUCAGCAAACUGAAAACAGAAGAAAUCUUCCUCAAUCUGAUAAAGGACAUGUAUUGAAAACCUACAACUAACAUUAUUCUUGAUACCUUCUCCCCUAAUACAGAGAACAUGGCAAGAAUUGAAUCUGAAUAGAAUCUUCACAAUUCUAUUCAGCAUUGUACUGGAGGCCCUAGCCAAUGGAAUAGUGCAAGACAAAGAAAUAAAAGGCAUACACACUGGAAAGGAAGAAGUAAAACUCCUCCUACUUACAUAUGACAAGAUUGCAUAUGUUGAAAAUCCUAAGGAACUUACAAAAAACCCACCAGAACCAAUAAGUAAGUUUGGCAAGAUUGUAGAACAUGAGGUUAAUAUACAAAAUCAAUUGUAUCUCUAUUUACUAACAAUGAAUAAUUAGAAAUUGUAUUUUAAACAAUACCACUUACAAUAACAUCAAAAAAUAUGGAAUACUUAUAGAAAAAUUAAAUAAAAUGUUACAAGAUCUGUACACUGAGAACAUUACUGAGAAAAAUCAAGGAAGAUCUAAAUAAGUGAAGAGUUAUACCAUGUUCAUGGAUUGGAAAGCUGAAUACUGUUAAAAUAUCAAUUCUUUCAAAAUUGAUCCGUAGAUUCAACAUAAUCACAAUGAAAAUCUGGGCAGGCUUUUUUUGUAGAAAAUAACAAGCUGAUUCUAAAGUUUAUGUGAAAAUGCAAAUGAGUAGGUGGGACUAUAGGCUCAUACCACCAUACCCAGAUAAUUCUGGACUGACUCUAAAUGGACUUGCUUGGACAUAUACCCUUCCCUGAACACUGGGACUCUAAUGACCAGGCCUGGGUCACAGGAACCAUGCUUGGAGCUGAGCAGCAACAGGGUGGUAUCAGCCCCACACUGAAUAGUGGUUCCUAAAAAGAGAAAAGAAAAAAGAGAAAAAAAAGAGGCCCUGAUAGAAUAAAGGCACUGACAAGCAAACACAGCUGAUGACUAUUAUGAUGCACUACUUUGGGAAUCAGGACAAAAAUAUAUAUUUUUUAAUCUUUAGAAUAACUGAGCCCAAGGCAACAUGCUUUGGUGCUCUUUUAACAGAGCAUAACAUAAAGGAAGAGAGAUGCAUUCCUUGGUCCACAUAUCAGUGUCCUCUGAGAUGGACUGGAGAAGAGCUAAGAAGAUGCUACCCAAGAGCUAAGAAGAGCUACAAAGAUGCCACUCCUUCCUUGCCAAAACAGAACAUAACCUGUAGAAUGAGGUGGAGGUAAGAUUGGGCUUGGACGGGAUUGGUAAAGUCCCUUAAAAAGAAAUGGCAUAGGAAGUUGGCUAAAGAUGAGUAAAGGAUUUCUGAGCCAAGUCAAGCUGCAGGAUGGAACCAUUCUGGGCCAUGGGGUUGGCUGAAACUCUUGUGGGGUCACUUUGUGCACCAUGAGUAUUUGAGCUCCUGGAUGGAGACAUUGCAUUUCUGAAGUGGCAGACUCAUUUUGCCUGAUGGUAAAUAAUUUUAAACAUUUUAAUAUCAAUACAAAAGGAAUCUAUUAUAAAGUAGAAUGCAAACACUGAAUGCAUUUUUAACACAAAAUACACAUUUCUUGCUUGCAGUGAUCCCUUCAGACUGCUUUCAUUUUUCUCCUUUGCAUGUUUUCAGUCUUCGCUGUUAGGAAUACUUUGUUGGAAAAAAUUUGAAAAAUGCCUCCUUAAAAAAUAAGGGCUGGGAUCAGGGAUGUUCUUGAGAUUUUUACAGUGUCCAGACACUUUGCCAGAAGAGGAAACCAGGCAAGUAUUCAGAAUGAAAAGGUUUGGGAUUCUGAGGACAAGG
rnacentral:lncRNA from 1 species